UUUUGGCACUGCAAUGUUAGCUCAGUUAUUCGCGUGCUUGGCUACGGCGAAAAGUUUUUGUUAGUAACAGCUGCUGUGUAAUUUUCAACUUGUAAACGUUUUUUGGAGUUUGGAACAAAGGUUUGACUUCUCUAGCUGCUUAAUGUCAUCACCAUAACAGGAUUUUUGGUCAAUGAAGUCAUUAAAUAGUUCAUUGAAAAUUCUCUGCAACACAACUAUACUUAACAGGAUACUACAAUACACAUAUCAUUUUAGUCAAACUCGACCAUGAGUCAUUUGAUUUAUAUGAAAUUAAAAAAUGCAAUGGCUCGAAUUGGUCAAGUCGACCGUUGGCCGCCCGUUCACAAAUUCAAAAGAUCGCAUUGGCAAGUCAACGCCGGUACGAUUGUCUCCGGCCGCAGCAGCAGCAGCAACAGCAACUCAAGUGGCCACAAUAAAAUAAUUGCUGUCUACAACAGUAGAACAGUUGCGAAAACGCCAACAAUUGUCACAAGGAAGUAAGCUCACGCGGCAAACACGAUUUGUUUUUCAAGUUACCUUAACUUAACCAAAAGUCUCGUUAUUUGUUUGUUGUUGUAAAAUUAAUUAACAGAGUUACCAAAAUUUUUAACUCCGCGCAUUUAGAUCGGAUUAUAAAGUCACAUUCAGUAUUUAAUUUAAUAAAUAAUUAUAUAUUUCAUAUCUGUGAUAGUGUUUAAAUCGUUUUUGGUUUUAGUAAUUUGUUUUUAAGUAUAACUACAAUAUAAUUUUUUUUAUAUUCUUAAAUUUUUUUCCGUAAACAUUUAUUCACACCGUACAAUGCUACAAAUUGCGAACGUACUUACCAGUUCCGCUAUCCUGAGGAUUCUAUUCAUACUGGUAAGUUCCCUGUCUGGGGGCUGGAGUUCGGAUGCUGAUCAACACAUAGCUUCGUCUCCCACGUGCGACAGUGAUAUAUAUUGCUAUGGACCAUUACUGCAUGUUGUACAAAUACAUCACAUAUUUCCUGACUCAAAGACUUUUGUCGACAUGAAGAUGAAACAAUCGCCCAAUGAAACAAUGAGUCUAUUUUUAGAUAUGAUGAAAAAGACAGGUCAGCGACCUACACGAUUAGAAGUUGAGCUUUUUGUGAACGACACAUUUGAAGCCGAAGGUAGUGAGUUUGAGCCUUGGGACCCAGCUGACUGGAAGCAACACCCCAAAUUUAUCAAUGAAAUAAGAGAUACUAAUUUUCAAGAGUGGGCAAAACAGUUGAACUUAAUGUGGAAAUUAUUGGGUAGAAAAAUCAAAGACGACGUACGUUUACAUCCUGAUCACUAUUCCAUUAUUUAUGUCCCAUACCCAGUGAUUGUGCCGGGCGGUAGGUUUCGAGAGUUCUACUAUUGGGACUCGUAUUGGAUUGUCCGAGGUCUGCUUCUUUCUGAAAUGUACAGCACAGUGAAGGGUAUGCUUAGCAACUUUUUAUCAAUCGUCAACACCUAUGGACAUAUACCCAAUGGUGGCCGAGUGUACUAUGCCAUGAGAUCACAACCACCCAUGUUAGUACCAAUGAUGUCGAGCUAUAUUGAGGCGACCAAUGAUACUGCGUUCCUUCGAGAUAACAUCGACAUACUCGAGCGCGAGUUUGACUAUUGGAUGAGAAAUCACACAGUGGACAUCGAAAAAGACGGCAAAGUGUACACUUUGGCCAGAUACAAGGAUUCUUCGGUUGGUCCAAGGCCAGAAUCGUACAGGGAAGAUAUUCAGAGUGCUCAAAUAUUUAAAUCUGACGUCGAUAAAGAAAAUCACUACUCCGAAUUAAAAGCUGCUGCUGAAUCUGGAUGGGAUUUUUCUAGUCGGUGGUUUAUACUGAAUGGAACUAAUAAAGGAAAUUUAACAAAUUUGAAGACUCGUUAUAUUAUUCCAGUAGAACUCAAUGCACUAAUUUAUUGGAAUGCAAAAAUACUUAGCGAUUUUUAUCGUGAUUUGAAUGUGCCCGAAAAGGUUCUGAAAUAUGAGAACAUUGGAUAUAAGUGGAUCGAGGCAGUGACGGCGAUUCUGUGGCACGAGGAGGUCGGAGCCUGGUUGGACUACGAUAUGCUAAAUGAAAUAAAACGCGAUUACUUCUACCCGACUAAUAUUUCGCCGUUAUGGACUGGUUGCUAUGAUUCGAAGAAAACAGAAUAUUUUGUGUCGAGAUCAUUGAAGUACCUGGAGAAAACUCAGAUUAUGAACAAUCUCGGUGGGAUACCGACGACGUUGGAACAUUCUGGAGAGCAAUGGGAUUACCCAAAUGCAUGGCCACCUCUUCAGUACAUAAUGGUUAUGUCUCUGGACGCUUCUGGGGAUAGUUGGGCUCAAGAUUUGGCGUUCGAGAUCGCUGAAAGAUGGGUUCGUUCUAAUUUCAAAGCGUUCAACGAGACUCGCUAUAUGUUUGAAAAAUACGAUGCUACCGUUCCAGGGGGUCAUGGAAGCGGAGGAGAGUAUGAAGUUCAAUUGGGUUUCGGUUGGACAAACGGUAUAAUUAUGGAGUUUCUGCACAAAUACGGAUCGCGAAUUACAGCUGAAGACAAGUUCACAGAAGCAUCGCAAAUUAGAGCUAGUGCAAUCGAAAGCAGUAGCAGUUUUAAUUCAAAAAGUGUUUCAUCAGUAACGCAAGUUAUGACUGUAAUGCUUGCGAUACUGGCGACGAUAUCAGCCGGAUGCAUAGGGUGAGAUGUUUUACAAAAGUAGAUUAUGUAGUUAAUUUAUAAGAACAAUUCCCUCGUGUAAACUGGAAGGAUCUCUUGAAAUAAUUAUCAGGUCAGACGUAUUUAACAGAGGUUUACAUAGCUGAACAUUUCUUUUUUUUGUGCUAUCACAUUUUAGUUUAUUUAUUGUUUUUUGUUUUGUACAUGUGACAUGUAGUUGUUGUUUAUUUUUUUUGCUUUUUUAGAAAUGCAACUUUUUUUGUGUAAUCUUUAUGACCUUUUAGUAUAUAUCUACUUACAUUAAUUUACAUACUAUUUUAUUCGAAGAUAGACAUUUUUGACGUUAGAUCUAAAUUUACUAUACCAAAAUAUAUUUGUGUGUGCAUAUGUGUGUGUGAGAGUGUGUGCUUAUCACCGUUGUAUAAUAUAAUAUACAUAUAUAUUCAUGUAUUAUAUUAUGUUAACUAUUUUAAUGGAGUUUAAGUUCCUUCGAGCAAUUGUGUUGCUGUGAGUUCAACCAAAAUUGUUGCCAGUUAUGCAUUAUUUGCUUGAUAUUUUUAAUUGGAAACAUAAAACAAAGUGAUGUAAUAUGUGUUAAGUUUAUAAAUUAGAGUUAGUUUGCACGUUUUAGUGAGAUUCGAAAUGACAAACGUUUUCGUUAAGUUUGUUUUAAUUCAAAUGGGUAACAAAAUGUAUACAUGUCUUUCGUAUAAUCUGUCCGUGAUAAAACGCUUCAAAUUUUGUAAUUUAAUUACACACGUAAAUAUUUUGAUUUCUCGUAAAUUGUAAUCUUAUGAAAAAAUUCGUUUUACAUCUGUUUUCCUAGUAUUUUUUACGGUAAUUUACUGUUAAUUAAUUUAUUUUAUUAUUAUAUUACUUUAAAUUUUGUAUAAACAAUUAACGUAGGUAUAAUAUUAUUGUAUAGUAGUUAAUAAAUUACCUAUUGUGAUUAUAAAUUAUCGUUAAAAUAUAUCAAUGAAGCCUAAUUAUUGUAAUAAUAAUAAAAUAGUAUAAAGUGGUUAUAAUAAAUAAGAUAUUUUUGAAAUUUGAAUUCAGUUUAACUAUAAAAGUUCAAUAUUUUCUUCUGCAAUGUCAAAUUCGAUUUAAUUGUCAAACAACUAAAGAUACAAAUCUAGUUAUUUUUUGACAACUAUGUAUUUUACUCGUUGAACUAUGCCUAAGCUGUUUGUUUUUCUAUUAAUUUAUUAUCUAGGCUGUACAAAUCGAGAUGGUUAGCUCAAUUUUCGACUUGUUAUUUAUUAUUUAUUUUUCGACUCAUGUUAUUCUCUCGAAAUACAUGUGUAUUGUUCCCGGUAGUUCCUAAGGUAGAAUCCUAGUUUCCAUAUAUCACGUCUUGGUAUGUUGGGACACUUAAAAUUAAUCUUUGAGUUUCGAUUAAUGAUAUUUUCUUUAUUUCUGCAAUUGCUAAAAUAUCUAGUCAAUCGUAUCAGUCAUCGAUCACUGUAUUAUGAUUUGUACCAGCGGGAUGUAAGUAAAUGAAAUAUGUCAAUAGUAAAUGUGUUAGAAAUCAUGCAAAUAAUUGGAGAGAUUAUUUUUAUCGAUAUAUUUAAGGGAAAAUAAAAUAAUAGUAUACUUUUUUUAAUCAAGAACAAGUACCUACGCUGUUGAACAUGCACUCAAUUGAUGUUAUAUAUAUUUUCAUCAAUUCAAUUUAAAAUGGUAAAUUUAGCGAUUAAUAAAAAAUAUUUACUAAUGACACAUAAAUGCAGUUUUGAAUAUUUGAUUACAUAAAUUUAGUAUCGCAAAUUAACAAUUUAUUUCAUUAUUAUUAUUUAAAUCCCGUCUAUAUUGUAUAACAAUGUAAUAUAACCAUGUGUUACCAUAAUUAACAUCUUCAUGGAUCGUUUUUUAUUUUAAUAAAAUUUAUUGGAAUUAACUGUUACAUUUCUUGUACCAACUUUGUACCUGCUUGCUAUGUUACCAAGAUUUAUUUAUUAGUUUCAAAAUAUUAUUAACAUAAUAGUUUUUUCAAAGGAAAAUAAAAUUGUCCUUUUUAAAGAAAUUUCAAAGUAGUACUGUUAUCUUAACUUACUAUAAUGAUAUCCUUUAACGAAACAAAUAAUGUUCAUAGUAAUAACUAUAGAUGUAUGUACAUUAUAUGGUACAAUAUAAAUGAUCAAUUUUUACACCCGCAUAUCAAAAUUAUUUUAUAUAAUAUGUCUAUACUUAUGAAUGAUGUUAUUUAUAUUUUUUGGAAUCAUAGAAUAUUAUUUAAAUAACCCAUUAUAUUAUUAUUAUUAAUUACAUUAUUUAGGUUUAAAUUUUGAAUAUUAUUGUUUUUUUAUUUCUGUUUUAAUUAUCUUUCUUUAAUAUUAAUAUUUUGCUAUUAUCAUUAUUCAUUAUGCAUGUAGUUUAGUAGAUUAUUAUAUUUAGAAAAUUUAAAUUCUGUUUAUUUAUCGAUAUUGUACAAAAGCUGACUUUUUAGUUAAUUUAUUCGAUUUAAUUAAAACCGAUUUAAUAGCUUGUCACAUUUUAUUAUUAAUAUACAAAAACUAUCAAUAAACUCUUUGAUAAUAUAAUAUUAUUGAGUAUUUUGUUUAAUUUGUUUAAUAUUUAAAAUAUAUUACUACUGCUUACCCAAUAAAAGUUUUUGACUGUUUCUGUUACUAAUUACUCUAACUAAAAUUUACCAUUAGUAAAAAUAUCAAAAAAUAUUUAUUUGAUUUAAUUUAAUUAUUGUAAAUACUAUUAGGAUGAAUUAGAAUGUUUUCUUUAUUAUAUAGUUAUAAUAUUAUUAUAAAUUAUAAAAUGAUGAUUUGAAAUAAUAAACAUAAAAAUAAUUUAACUUAUUUAGUUAUUAGAUUUUUAUAUAGCAUUUUAGUUGAAAUCAGUUCAACUCAAAAAACUCUUUAUAAUAAUCUGCAAAGUAUUUUAAUAUUCUCAUAUACCAUACUCAUAAACUUGCACUGGAUAAAAAUUUUACAAUACUCUAUUAUAAAUGUCAUUUUUUUCUUCUAUAGUAUAUUCAAUUUUUGUAAUAUUAAUGGACACUUAUUAUUUUAAUACUUAUAAUUAGGCAUAAUACGAAUGGUUAACACCGUCAACUUUGGUCAUCCCUACCGCAAAAAUUACAAAUUAUGAUUUUUAUGAAAUGAACAAUCGUUCCUAAAUACAUAUUAAUUCUCGCGUUCGUCUAUGAAUAUAAGUAACACUUUAUUUAGUACAGAUGUUGCAAAGAAUGUAACACUUACAAUUUUUUUUUUUAAUAUGCUGUGUGUUGGUAUUUAUGUUAGUUUGUUUUUUCGCAUGCUUUUAGUAGUACUUGAAGACCAAUUUAUAACUCUCAACUAAUCUGAGCUUCUUAAAUCAUCGCAGUUUAGCAUCGAGAUAGCAGAUUUGCUGUUUAUAAAAAGCGACAAAUAUGCAGCAACAAUUGUGCUCAAUACAAAAAACUAUGCAGUGGUUAUACGGAAUUAAGAGAUUUGACAAGUGACUGAAUUACUCAGUUAUUGGACUUAUAUUUGUUAACCACUAUAUUUAAUGUUCCACAUGACAUUGCAACCUAAAGUCUAG